rnacentral:rRNA from 1 species
GACGAACGCUGGCGGCGUGCCUAAUACAUGCAAGUCGAACGCAGUGGGGACGGGUGCGUAACAAGUGGGUAACCUCCCAGCAGAGGGGAUAACACUUGGCAACAGGCGCUAAACCGCUACUGAUGGAUGGACCCGCGGUGCAUUCGCUAGUUGGUGGGGUAACGGCUCACCAAGGCCACGAUGCAUAGCCGACCUGGGAGGGUGAUCGGCCACACUGGGACUGAGACACGGCCCAGACUCCUACGGGAGGCAGCAGUGGGGAAUCUUCGGCAAUGGACGAAAGUCUGACCGAGCAAUGCCGCGUGAGUGAAGAAGGUUUUCGGGUCGUAAAGCUCUGUUGUUAGGGAAGCGUUAUCUGCCCAAGAAGCCACGGCUAACUACGUGCCAGCAGCCGCGGUACUAC